rnacentral:rRNA from 1 species
UACGUAGGGGGCAAGCGUUGUCCGGAUUUAUUGGGCGUAAAGAGCGUGUAGGCGGCCACGCAGGUCCGUUGUGAAAACUGGAGGCUCAACCUCCAGCUGUCGACGGAAACCGUAUGGCUAGAGUCCGGAAGAGGAGAGUGGAAUUCCUGGUGUAGCGGUGAAAUGCGCAGAUAUCAGGAAGAACACCCGUGGCGAAGGCGGCUCUCUGGGACGGUACUGACGCUGAGACGCGAAAGCGUGGGGAGCGAACAGG